rnacentral:rRNA from 1 species
GACGAACCGAGCGAACGUUGUUCGGAAUCACUGGGCUUAAAGGGCGCGUAGGCGGGUUCUCAAGUCCGGGGUGAAAUCCCACAGCUCAACUGUGGAACUGCCUCGGAUACUGGGGGUCUCGAGGGUGGUAGGGGUAUGCGGAACUAUCGGUGGAGCGGUGAAAUGCGUUGAUAUCGAUAGGAACUCCGGUGGCGAAGGCGGCAUACUGGACCACUUCUGACGCUGAGGCGCGAAAGCCAGGGGAGCGAACGGG